rnacentral:rRNA from 1 species
GACGAACGCUGGCGGCGUGCUUAACACAUGCAAGUCGAACGAAGAGCGAUGGAAGCUUGCUUCUAUCACUCUUAGUGGCGAACGGGUGAGUAACGCGUAAUCAACCUGCCCUUCAGAGGGGGACAACAGUUGGAAACGACUGCUAAUACCGCAUACGAUCUAAUCUCGGCAUCGAGGAUAGAUGAAAGGUGGCCUCUACAUGUAAGCUAUCACUGAAGGAGGGGAUUGCGUCUGAUUAGCUAGUUGGAGGGGUAACGGCCCACCAAGGCGAUGAUCAGUAGCCGGUCUGAGAGGAUGAGCGGCCACAUUGGGACUGAGACACGGCCCAGACUCCUACGGGAGGCAGCAGUGGGGAAUCUUCCGCAAUGGACGAAAGUCUGACGGAGCAACGCCGCGUGAGUGAUGACGGCCUUCGGGUUGUAAAGCUCUGUUAAUCGGGACGAAAGGCCUUCUUGCGAAUAGUGAGAAGGAUUGACGGUACCGGAAUAGAAAGCCACGGCUAACUACGUG